UUCUUUCUUCCACUCUCAAAAAGAUAUACAAAUAUGACCGCAUAAGAAACACAGCGGCGGCGGCAAGGCGGAUGAGAUAGAUCUAGAGUUGAGGGAGACUUAUACUCGGGACUCAGCUACGGCGAGAACCAGCCACUGGGGCUUUAUCCGCAAGCGGGACUGGGAGCGAGGGUACAUACAUGCUCUCAAACUGAAUAUGAGCUCAACAAUUGCUUGCUCCAAUGGAAAGCAAGGGUUUCCAAGUCACGGCUUCAGCGUGCGAUGUUCUGAAUCAAGCUCAAUUAGAAAGAAAUAUAUGUGAUUUAUUUAUUUUUAUUGGUUGAAUUAGCGGGACUGGGAGCGAGGGUACAUACAUGCUCUCAAACUGAAUUGAGCUCAACAAUUGCUUGCUCCAAUGGAAAGCAAGGGUUUCCAAGUCACGGCUUCAGCGUGCGAUGUUCUGAAUCAAGCUCAAAGGGAAAAGCUGAUAAACACUGUUUCCUCUGAGUUCAAUGGGAGGCUUAACAUCCCGGUAAUAAAGUGGGAAAUAAUAUAGGGAAAAUGGUGAUGGAUUACACGGCGGAAGAUGUUUCAUUUCUGACGAGUACCAACUUUGAAUCAGCUUAUAACAUUAACAUACUGGCUCAUCCUCUUUUGAAAGCUUCAGCAUCCGGGGACUCUUGAAAGCUCAACAUCCGGAGCAUUGUGUUUAUCUCUUCAAUUGGUUCUAUUAUGCCUGCAUAUUUAGCACCUAUAUGGAGCCAACAAAGUUACUACUUUGCUUCUACAUUUGACCCUUCCUAUAUUU